rfam:Brachypodium distachyon strain Bd21 chromosome 2, whole genome shotgun sequence.
UUUCUACUUCCUCCGAUACAUAUUACUUGUCAAAAUAUUACAUGUAUCUAGACGUCUUUUAAACAUAGAUAAAUGCAUAUUUAGACAAAUUUGAGACAAGUAAUAUGGAUCGGAGAGAGUAGUAG